rnacentral:rRNA from 1 species
GAUGAACGCUGGCGGCGUGCCUAAUACAUGCAAGUCGAGCGAACGGACGAGACGCUUGUUUCUCUGAUGUUUGCGGCGGACGGGAGUGUAACACGUGGAUAACCUACUUAUAAGACUGGGAUAACUUCGGGAAACCGGCGCUAAUCCCGGAUGAUCUUCUGAUCCGCAGGGUUCAAAAGUGAAAGACGGUCUUGCUGUAACUACUAGCUGGUUAUGCGCUGAAUUAGCUAGUUGGUAAGGUAACGGCUUACGAAGGGAACGAUGCCUAGCCGAGCGCCGAGAGGGGUCGGCCACAUGGGAAGUGGGACGCGGACCAGGGUCCUAAGGGAGGCACCAGUAUGGUAUCGUCCGCAGUGGGCGGGAACCUUACGGAGCAACGCCACGUGAGUGAUAGAGGUCUUCGGAGCGUGAAGCUCUGUUAUGAGGUGAGAACAUAUGUGGAAGGAGCUGUGCACAGCGUGACGGUACCUAAUCAGAAAGCCACGGCUAACUACGUG